rnacentral:pre_miRNA from 1 species
GAUAUACUCCCUCCGUCCGGAAAUACUUGUCAUCAAAAUGGAUGAAAGGGGAUGUAUCUAGACGUAUUUUAGUUCUAGAUACAUCUCUUUUUAUUCAUUUUGGUGACAAGUAUUGUCGGACGGAGGGAGUAAUUA